UACGGAGGUGGCAAGCGUUGCUCGGAAUCACUGGGCGUAAAGGGCGCGUAGGCGGGGAGGUAAGUCGGGUGUGAAAUCCCUCGGCCCAACCGAGGAACUGCGCCCGAGACUGCUUCUCUUGAGUCCCGGAGAGGAAGGUGGAAUUCCCGGUGUAGCGGUGAAAUGUGUAGAGAUCGGGAGGAACACCGGUGGCGAAGGCGGCCUUCUGGACGGUGACUGACGCUGAGACGCGAAAGCGUGGGGAGCAAACAGG
rnacentral:rRNA from 1 species